GAUGAACGCUGGCGGCGUGCUUAACACAUGCAAGUCGAACGGGAAACCUUUUAUUGAAGCUUCGGCAGAUUUAGCUGGUUUCUAGUGGCGGACGGGUGAGUAACGCGUGGGUAACCUGCCUUAUACAGGGGGAUAACAGUCAGAAAUGGCUGCUAAUACCGCAUAAGCGCACAGAGCUGCAUGGCUCAGCGUGAAAAACUCCGGUGGUAUAAGAUGGACCCGCGUUGGAUUAGCUGGUUGGUGGGGUAACGGCCCACCAAGGCGACGAUCCAUAGCCGGCCUGAGAGGGUGAACGGCCACAUUGGGACUGAGACACGGCCCAGACUCCUACGGGAGGCAGCAGUGGGGAAUAUUGCACAAUGGGGGAAACCCUGAUGCAGCGACGCCGCGUGAAGGAAGAAGUAUCUCGGUAUGUAAACUUCUAUCAGCAGGGAAGAUAAUGACGGUACCUGACUAAGAAGCCCCGGCUAACUACGUG
rnacentral:rRNA from 1 species